rnacentral:lncRNA from 1 species
GGCUCCAGCAGCAAGCGAGUUGAAACUCGAUUUAACGAAUUGAUGACCACGCUCGAAUUAUUUCGCUAAAUCGGGAAGUUCGUAAAAUCGAGAAAGGGAUUUUUCGGUCCUUCGAAAUCUGAAAUUGUAACGUAGCGACACGCAAAAGCCGCGGCAUUGUAUUUGCCGCUAAACCACACCUGCGCGUGUGAGAAGUCCGUGAGGACGGCCCGAAUUGCUUGUGCGAUGUGCGAUGCAGGCCAGGUAGACGGUCACGUGAAGCUAUGACAUGCCGUGACUAAGUCGCCUAGAUGUUCUAACGCGAUAGC